rnacentral:lncRNA from 1 species
UGAAUGAAGAUGAAAGGAACUAAGACAUCAAUCUAGGGGAGUACCUGAUGUAGCUUUUUGGAUCGAAAUAAGGACAAGAAAUGUGUGAAAAAAGCUGCUGGAAUUGCUUCGUUGCGGUUUCGAACCCGCACUAGAGAAACCAAGUAGCGGGUUUUGGGACUGAAUUCGGGAGCCCUCUCAAUGUUAUUUCCAAAAAUAAUCUGAACAAAACUCCUUCUCCUAAUUACCUAGUGUUCGUAGAAAUAGAAAUCUACCCGAAUCAAGCUAAAAUGAACAAGAUAAUUUCGUCACAAGAUGGCUGAAAAUCAGCCCUUUUCUUAAAAAUUCUGCAGCUUUUCUUCUUUUCUUUUUUCUGCCUUUCUGAUCUCUCUUUCUCCCUCUUUUCUUUCAUUUUCCUUUCUAUUUUUCUUCCCGAUUAUCCCCCAGAUCCUCCCCUCUCCUUUCUUUCUCUUCUCCUUUUCUUUCUUUCUUCCCCGAAACCCUUUUUUCUUCCUUUCCUUCUUGCUUUUCCUUCACUC